rnacentral:lncRNA from 1 species
UUUUUUUAUUAAUUUUUUAAAAAUAAUAUUAUAUUAUAUUAAAAAAUAACAAAUAAAUUGUUUAUCCUAAAAUCUGAAUUUAUUUCUAGUUAUAGACUUUGAAAAAUAAUAAAAUCUAAAUACAUUAUUAGAAACCUAAAUACCAAAAAUUAAAUAAUUAAAGUGAAACAAAAGAAAAAAAAAGAAAGAAAAAGAUUUGACUUCAUUUCUUCAACGCCAAAAAUCCCUAUUCAUUGCUCCCGCUCAAUUUUCACGCUAACACCUCAAAAUUUCCCCCAAAUCGGACCUGGCCUCUUUCUCUCUUCACCAUCGCCGUGCCCUGCCACCGCCGUCGCGACUCACCGCCACGACCAGCGCCGCCCGGCACUCACUGCGCCCCCCAUCUCGUCGUCCUCU